rnacentral:misc_RNA from 1 species
CCUUUGUGAACCUUCAUACCUGUUGCUUCGGCGGCGCGCCUCUCGGGGCGUGCCCGCCGGCAUUAUCAGAAUCUCUGUUCGAACCCGACGAUACUUCUGAGUGUUCUAAGCGAACUGUUAAAACUUUCAACAACGGAUCUCUUGGCUCCAGCAUCGAUGAAGAACGCA